rnacentral:rRNA from 1 species
UACGGAGGGGCGAGCGUUAUUCGGAAUUAUUGGGCGUAAAGGGCGCGUAGGCGGCUUGACAAGUCAAAGGUGAAAUCCCUCGGCUCAACUGAGGAACUGCCUUUGAAACUGUCUGGCUUGAGGCCGGGAGGGGGUAGCGGAAUUCCCAGUGUAGCGGUGAAAUUCGUAGAUAUGGGGAGGAACACCGGUGGCGAAGGCGGCCACCUGGACGGUCACUGACGCUGAGACGCGAAAGCGUGGGUAGCAAACAGG